rnacentral:tRNA from 1 species
GGUGAGGUGUCCGAGUGGCUGAAGGAGCACGCCUGGAAAGUGUGUAUACGGCAACGUUAUCGGGGGUUCGAAUCCCCCCCUCACCGCCA